rnacentral:rRNA from 1 species
ACGGAGGGGGCUAGCGUUGCUCGGAAUUACUGGGCGUAAAGAGCACGUAGGCGGGUAUUCUAGUCAGGCGUGAAAGCCCCAGGCUCAACCUGGGAACUGCGUUUGAUACUGGAUACCUAGAGUCCGAGAGAGGGUGGUGGAAUUCCCAGUGUAGAGGUGAAAUUCGUAGAUAUUGGGAAGAACACCAGUGGCGAAGGCGGCCACCUGGCUCGGUACUGACGCUGAGGUGCGAAAGCGUGGGGAGCAAACAGG